AGAGUUUGAUCCUGGCUCAGGAUGAACGCUAGCUACAGGCUUAACACAUGCAAGUCGAGCGGUAUGUGCUUUAGUGCAUACAGCGGCAGACGGGUGAGUAACACGUAUCUAACCUUCCCCUUACUUGGGCAUAGCCUCUGGAAACGGAGAUUAAUUUCCGAUGUGGUGUACAUUUCGCAUGUUUUGCGCACCAAAGAUUUAUCGGUAAGGGAUGGGGAUGCGCUCCAUUAGGUUGUAGGUAGGGUAAUGGCCUACCUAGCCUAUGAUGGAUAGGGGUUCUGAGAGGAAGGUCCCCCACAUUGGAACUGCGACACGGUCCAAACUCCUACGGGAGGCAGCAGUGAGGAAUAUUGGUCAAUGGCCGGAAGGCUGAACCAGCCAAGUAGCGUGCAGGAUGACUGCCUUAUGGGUUGUAAACUGCUUUUUUACGGGAAUAAUUAUGAUCACGUGUGAUUAUUUGCAUGUACCGUAAGAAUAAGGAUCGGCUAACUCCGUGCCAGCAGCCGCGGUAAUACGGAGGAUCCUAGUGUUAUCCGGAUUUAUUGGGUUUAAAGGGAGCGUAGGCGGGAGGUCAAGUCAGCUGUGAAAUGUAUCUGCUUARCGGGUACACUGCAGUUGAAACUGGUUUUCUUGAGUGCGUAAGAGGCAGGCGGAAUUCGUUGUGUAGCGGUGAAAUGCUUAGAUAUGACGAGGAACUCCUAUUGCGAAGGCAGCUUGCUGGGUCGUUACUGACGCUGAUGCUCGAAGGUGCGGGGAUCAAACAGGAUUAGAUACCCUGGUAGUCCGCACAGUAAACUAUGGAUACUCUCUGCCGGCGAUACAUUGUCGGUGGCCAAGCGAAAGCGUUAAGUAUCCCACCUGGGGAGUACGUUCGCAAGAAUGAAACUCAAAUGAAUUGACGGAA
rnacentral:rRNA from 1 species